GACGAACGCUGGCGGCGUGCUUAACACAUGCAAGUCGAACGGAAAGGCCCUGCUUUUGUGGGGUGCUCGAGUGGCGAACGGGUGAGUAACACGUGAGUAACCUGCCCUUGACUUUGGGAUAACUUCAGGAAACUGGGGCUAAUACCGGAUAGGAGCUCCUGCUGCAUGGUGGGGGUUGGAAAGUUUCGGCGGUUGGGGAUGGACUCGCGGCUUAUCAGCUUGUUGGUGGGGUAGUGGCUUACCAAGGCUUUGACGGGUAGCCGGCAUGAGAGGGUGACCGGCCACAAUGGGACUGAGAGACGGCCCAGACUCCUACGGGAGGCAGCAGGGGGGAAUAUUGCGCAAUGGGCGGAAGCCUGAUGCAGCAACGCCGCGUGCGGGAUGACGGCCUUCGGGUUGUAAACCGCUUUCGCCUGUGACGAAGCGUGAGUGACGGUAAUGGGUAAAGAAGCACCGGCUAACUACGUG
rnacentral:rRNA from 1 species